rnacentral:rRNA from 1 species
AACCGAGAACUCCUACGGGAGGCAGCAGUGGGGAAUAUUUGACAAUGGGCGAAAGCCUGAUCCAGCCAUGCCGCGUGUGUGAAGAAGGUCUUCGGAUUGUAAAGCACUUUAAGUUGGGAGGAAGGGCAUUAACCUACUACGUUAGUGUCUUGACGUUACCGAAAGAAUAAGCACCGGCUAACUCUGUGCCAGUAGCCGCGGUAAUACAGAGGGUGCAAGCGUUAAUCGGAAUUACUGGGCGUAAAGCGCGCGUAGGUGGUUUGUUAAGUUGAAUGUGAAAUCCCCGGGCUCAACCUGGGAACUGCAUCCAAAACUGGCAAGCUAGAGUAUGGUAGAGGGGAGUGGAAUUUCCGGUGUAGCGGUGAAAUGCGUAGAUAUAGGAAGGAACACCAGUGGCGAAGGCGACUACCUGGACUGAUACUGACACGGAGGUGCGAAAGCGUGGGGAGCAAACAGGAUUAGAAACCCGAGUAGUCCGACUGAGA